CGUAAAUGCCAUCUAAACUAUCCUAGGUAUCCAUCGCACUAAUACUACAACGAUACAAUCGAAUUUCGGCUCCUAGAGCUAAAUUUGGUAGUUUAAGCAUAUGACGGGUCAAAAACGCGGCUUUUCUCCUAAGUCAAAUUUCAAGUCCAACAUGUAUAAUAUAAACAUUCAUUUCAGCAUGCUUUUAUAUUCAUAUUACGUCCAAAAUGCUAAUCGAUGAAUUAAAGCAUGAUAUACAAAAAUCGAACUAUACACGUCGACUAAACAUGCACUUAGGAGCGAAAC
rnacentral:lncRNA from 1 species